UAAGCAUAUCAAUAAGCGGAGGAAAAGAAACCAACAGGGAUUGCCCUAGUAACGGCGAGUGAAGCGGCAACAGCUCAAAUUUGAAAUCUGGCCCUAGCGGUCCGAGUUGUAAUUUGUAGAGGAUGCUUUUGGUUAGGUGCCUUCUGAGUUCCCUGGAACGGGACGCCAGAGAGGGUGAGAGCCCCGUACGGUUGGACACCGAGCCUCUAUAUAGCUCCUUCGACGAGUCGAGUAGUUUGGGAAUGCUGCUCUAAAUGGGAGGUAAAUUUCUUCUAAAGCUAAAUACCGGCCAGAGACCGAUAGCGCACAAGUAGAGUGAUCGAAAGAUGAAAAGUACUUUGAAAAGAGGGUUAAAUAGCACGUGAAAUUGUUGAAAGGGAAGCGUUUGCGACCAGACUUUUUCCAGGCGGAUCAUCCGGUGUUCUCACCGGUGCACUUCGCCUGGUUUAGGCCAGCAUCGGUUCCCUUAGGGGGAUAAAGGCCUGGGGAACGUAGCUCCUUCGGGAGUGUUAUAGCCCCUAGCGUAAUACCCUUCGGGGGACCGAGGAACGCGCAUCUGCAAGGAUGCUGGCGUAAUGGUCGUCAA
rnacentral:rRNA from 1 species